UAGAGUUUACACAAAAUCUUUUGCUUUCAUGUUUAUUAAGGAAGUGUCAUACUGAUGGAUCCUCUAGGGAAAAAACGAAGAAUACAGUGGCACGAAGUGGGUGUUUCUGAAAGAGAGCAAUCUGCAAAACUCCAUAGAUUCCAGUGGAACCAGAAGCAGAUUUGGAACCAGAAGAUAAAAGGUACAGAGAAUGGCCAUUAAAACCUGGGAAGUCAUGUAGGUGAGUGUAAGAUACAUGCAUGCAU
rnacentral:lncRNA from 1 species